UCAUCAGCGAUGACAGAGACCAGUAAGCGGACCAGCGGCUUCACAGGGAGGAUCGGUCCUGACUGAGAGCCGAUCCGAAGCGCGCCCCGCCGAAUUCCCUCUGGAGCUGUCCUCUGAACGGCUGGCGCCCCCAGUAGGAGGAACCGGGUCAUCCCCGUUAUCAAUGGCACGAGUGAGGCCGGGUGUCUGGCAGCAGCGUCUGUUCCUGGCCUAACAAGGGUGGUACCGCGAGUAAAUCGACUCGUCCCUUUC
rnacentral:ncRNA from 1 species